GAUGAACGCUGGCGGCGUGCCUAAUACAUGCAAGUCGAGCGAACGGACGAGAAGCUUGCUUCUCUGAUGUUAGCGGCGGACGGGUGAGUAACACGUGGAUAACCUACCUAUAAGACUGGGAUAACUUCGGGAAACCGGAGCUAAUACCGGAUAAUAUUUUGAACCGCAUGGUUCAAAAGUGAAAGACGGUCUUGCUGUCACUUAUAGAUGGAUCCGCGCUGCAUUAGCUAGUUGGUAAGGUAACGGCUUACCUAGGCAACGAUGCAUAGCCGACCUGAGAGGGUGAUCGGCCACACUGGAACUGAGACACGGUCCAGACUCCUACGGGAGGCAGCAGUAGGGAAUCUUCCGCAAUGGGCGAAAGCCUGACGGAGCAACGCCGCGUGAGUGAUGAAGGUCUUCGGAUCGUAAAACUCUGUUAUUAGGGAAGGACAUAUGUGUAAGUAACUGUGCACAUCUUGACGGUACCUAAUCAGAAAGCCACGGCUAACUACGUG
rnacentral:rRNA from 1 species